rnacentral:rRNA from 1 species
GACGAACGCUGGCGGCGUGCUUAACACAUGCAAGUCGAACGGUAAGGCCCUUCGGGGUACACGAGUGGCGAACGGGCGAGUAACACGUGGGUGAUCUGCCCUGCACUUCGGGAUAAGCCUGGGAAACUGGGUCUAAUACCGGAUAGGACCACUGCCUGCAUGGGUGGUGGUGGAAAGCUUUUGCGGUGUGGGAUGGGCCCGCGGCCUAUCAGCUUGUUGGUGGGGUGAUGGCCUACCAAGGCGACGACGGGUAGCCGGCCUGAGAGGGCGACCGGCCAGACGGGGACUGAGGUACGGCCCAGACUCCUACGGGAGGCAGCAGUGGGGAAUAUUGCACAAUGGGCGCAAGCCUGAUGCAGCGACGCCGCGUGAGGGAUGACGGCCUUCGGGUUGUAAACCUCUUUCAGCACCGACGAAGCGCAAGUGACGGUAGGUGCAGAAGAAGGACCGGCCAACUACGUGCCAGCCGCCGCAGUAA